rnacentral:rRNA from 1 species
UACGUAGGGGGCUAGCGUUGUCCGGAAUCAUUGGGCGUAAAGCGCGUGUAGGCGGUCCGGUAAGUCCGCUGUGAAAGUCGGGGGCUCAACCCUCGGAUGCCGGUGGAUACUGUCGGGCUUGAGUACGGAAGAGGCGAGUGGAAUUCCUGGUGUAGCGGUGAAAUGCGCAGAUAUCAGGAGGAACACCGGUGGCGAAGGCGGCUCUCUGGACCGAGACUGACGCUGAGGCGCGAAAGCGUGGGGAGCAAACAGG